UACGAAGGGGGCUAGCGUUGCUCGGAAUUACUGGGCGUAAAGGGAGCGUAGGCGGAUAGUUUAGUCAGAGGUGAAAGCCCAGGGCUCAACCUUGGAAUUGCCUUUGAUACUGGCUAUCUUGAGUACGGAAGAGGUAUGUGGAACUCCGAGUGUAGAGGUGAAAUUCGUAGAUAUUCGGAAGAACACCAGUGGCGAAGGCGA
rnacentral:rRNA from 1 species